rnacentral:lncRNA from 1 species
CCACAGUCCUAGUCCAAGUAGGAUUCUUCACCAGAGACAAUCCAAUUGGACUCUUCUACCAUCAGAUUUGACCAAAUCUUUUAAUGCGUGUGACCCCAUAGGUUCAAACCUAAGCUGGUAGCAUAGGAACAACUUUCUAUACCAAUCGAUGUAACCAUCUAGCAAUAAUGACUCGACAACCGGAUAGGUUGAAGUGUUGCAAGGUAACGUUCUAGUACCUACUGGCGUAUGGUUACCAUAUAAUUUAUCUCUUUGAUCUAAAUGCUCAAGGUGAUGUAGGGUUUAACUGUCAACCUUAAUUAAGUCAACCACAUUAUAUUUCAACCUUUCAAAUCUAUCUCAUGGAUUAUUUUGAUCAAGAUUUUGCUAAAUUGAAAUACACUGAUGCAUAUCUCCUAUCAAUUCAAAGGGAUCAAUUCCAUCUUGACUCACACACCGACUUGAUAAGUACUAGACUGCACCCAAUAUCCUUCCAUCACUAAGUUAAAAACUUAGAUGGUCUGGUACUAAUGUAUAGUGAGUUGCUUAUAAGUCACUGUGGUGAUCUCAGAUCGGUGGGAUACUUAUAUCCUUACCCUUCACAAACUACUCUUGACAGCAGAAUACUCGGCACAUGAUCACGUUCAACGCGAAUGUACUCCUACAUUCUAUCUGCAUGCCAUAAUAGUAUCUCUACACUCUUUGGUUAAGAGGAUAAUCAACUCAUAUGGCACACAACGACCUACACUUGAUAUCGCUAUCGUGCUAUUAAUAGUAUAUCGUUUGGUCGCAAAUAUUUUUAAAGACUUAACGACAAAUCCUCC